rnacentral:rRNA from 1 species
UGGGGAAUUUUGGACAAUGGGGGCAACCCUGAUCCAGCAAUGCCGCGUGUGUGAAGAAGGCCUUCGGGUUGUAAAGCACUUUUUUUCAGGAAGAAAAGGUCUAUGUUAAUAGCAUAGGUUGCUGACGGUACUGGAAGAAUAAGCACCGGCUAACUACGUGCCAGCAGCCGCGGUAAUACGUAGGGUGCGAGCGUUAAUCGGAAUUAUUGGGCGUAAAGGGUGCGCAGGCGGUUUUGUAAGACGGAUGUGAAAUCCCUGGGCUUAACCUAGGAACUGCAUUUGUGACUGCAAGGCUAGAGUAUGGCAGAGGGAGGUGGAAUUCCACGUGUAGCAGUGAAAUGCGUAGAGAUGUGGAGGAACACCGAUGGCGAAGGCAGCCUUCUGGGCCGAUACUGACGCUCAUGCACGAAAGCGUGGGGAGCAAACAGGAUUAGAUACCCCGGUAGUCC